UGGGGAAUUUUGCACAAUGGGGGAAACCCUGAUGCAGCGACGCCGCGUGAUUUAGAAGGCCUUCGGGUUGUAAAAAUCUUUUUUACGGGAUGAAAAUGACAGUACCGUAAGAAUAAGGUCCGGCUAAAUACGUGCCAGCAGCCGCGGUAAUACGUAUGGACCGAGCGUUGUCCGGAAUCAUUGGGCGUAAAGGGUACGUAGGCGGCCUAAUAAGUUAGAAGUGAAAGAAUAUAGCUCAACUAUAUAAAGCUUUUAAAACUGUUUGGCUUGAGAGAUGAAAGGGAAAGUGGAAUUCCUAGUGUAGCGGUGAAAUGCGCAGAUAUUAGGAAGAAUACCGGUGGCGAAGGCGACUUUCUGGUCAUCAUCUGACGCUGAGGUACGAAAGCGUGGGUAGCAAACAGG
rnacentral:rRNA from 1 species